AGUUCGGAUUGUAGUCUGCAACCGACUACAUGAAGCUGGAAUCGCUAGUAAUCGCGGAUCAGAAUGCCGCGGUGAAUACGUUCCCGGGUCUUGUACACACCGCCCGUCACACCAUGGGAGUCGGAAAUGCCCGAAGUCUGUGACCCAACCUUAGGGAGGGAGCAGCCGAAGGCAGGUCGGAUGACUGGGGUGAAGUCGUAACAAGGUACC
rnacentral:rRNA from 1 species